rnacentral:SRP_RNA from 1 species
GCCAGGCAUGGUGGCACAUGCCUGUAGUCCCAGCUACUUGAGAGGCUGAGGCAGCAGGAUCUCUUGAGCCCAGGAGCUCUGGGCUGUAGUGCACUAUGCUGGUCAGGUGUCUGCACUAAGUUUGGCAUAAAUAUGGUGACCUCCCAGGAGAGGGAGGUCAGAAAUGGAGGAGGUCAAAAUUCCAGUGCUGGUCAGUAGUGGGAUUGCACCUGUGAUUAGCCACUGCACUCCAGCCUGGGCAACAGUGAGACCCUCU